AUGAUUAAUGCUUAUUUUUCUGCUAACUGUAGUUUAACCAUGGAAAAUAAGUGGGAGGAAAUUUUCAAUUACCUUUUAAAGGGUUCAUACCCUGCAGAGCUAAAUAAAGGGCAGAAGCAAAGCCUAAGGAAAUACUCCUCGAAAUUCAGGAUUCACGAUGGAGAACUACUCUUUGGCAGUCACAGAAGAGUCAUAAAGACAAAGGAGGAGGCUAGGAAUUUAUUUAAAGAAUUUCAUGCCUCACCUAUCGGAGGACAUACAGGAACCUUAAAAACACGAGCUGCCAUGUGUUCACGGUUCUACUGGUAUGGCAUGACAGUGGACAUUGACAAAUGGAUAUCUGAAUGUGACCAAUGUCAACGGGUGGGACCACCCCUGAAUGCAGUUAAAACUCUGGACUGCAUCAAGGUAUCUGCUGUUUGGGAGCUCAUCGGAAUUGAUCUCACUGGUCCACUCCAAAAAACAUCUACUGGGUAUCAGUAUAUAUUGACAGUCACUGACUAUUUUUCCAAGUGGGUGGAGGCCUUUCCUCAAAAGACAGUCUGCAUUGGAAGUAGCCAAAAACCUUUGUACAGUCAUUUAUAGACAUGGCUGCCCUAAGCGCAUACUGUCAGACCAAGGACGGGAGUUUGUCAAUCAAAUCAACAGCACACUUUGUGAGCUGCUUUCUAUUGAGAGGAGUGUUACGGCUGCUUACCAUCCCCAAACAAAUGGGCUCGAUGAGAAAACCAAUGAUAACAUCAAACGGGCACUUAAAAAGCUUGUUAAUGAUCAGCAGGAUGACUGGGACCAGUACCUAGAUGCAAGUCUUUUUUCACUGAGAUCCAAAAUACAAACCACAACAAAAUUCUCACCAUUUCUUUUAAUGUAUGGGCGAGAAGCUAGAUUUCCAUCAGAAGUGCCUGUUGAA